rnacentral:rRNA from 1 species
GACGAACCGAGCGAACGUUGUUCGGAAUCACUGGGCUUAAAGGGCGCGUAGGCGGGUGCUCAAGUCCGUGGUGAAAUCCCUCGGCUUAACCGGGGAACUGCGUCUGAUACUGGAUGGCUUGAGUUCGGGAGAGGGAUGCGGAAUUCCAGGUGUAGCGGUGAAAUGCGUAGAUAUCUGGAGGAACACCGGUGGCGAAGGCGGCAUCCUGGACCGACACUGACACUGAGGAGCGAAAGCCAGGGGAGCAAACGGG